rnacentral:misc_RNA from 1 species
AAAGUCGUAACAAGGUCUCCGUUGGUGAACCAGCGGAGGGAUCAUUACAGGACUCACAAGACUCCUUCAACCCUGUGAACUUACUACAAAGCACGUUGCUUCGGCGGGUGCUCCGGGUCUCCCGGGGCGCUGAGCCCGCCGGCAGCCUACCAAUUCUGUCUCUUUGCGUUGGCAUCUCGAGAAAAACAAAUAAGUUAAAACUUUCAACAACGGAUCUCUUGGUUCUG